rnacentral:lncRNA from 1 species
AUGAACCUGUCCUGGACUUGGAAACCUAAGUUUUGGGUACAGGAACGUCAUGGACCUCACACUUUUUAAGCUACUGGAAUGAAAGUGACAUUGUCCAGGUGCUGACAGCUGAGCCAUUCCACACACCUUUGGGGCAAAGAACCGCUGGAAGCCCGGGCCAAGUUCAAAGACCGAACAUUCUUUCCAAGGCGACCAGAAGCACCCUGGAGGGCUGGCUCCUAGUUACAUAAGCCAC